GAAGACCCUGUAGAGCUUCACUUUGGUCUAGUCUUGUAUAGUUCCUGCGGGGGUGUAGACUAGGUGGGAGAGCAAUCGAUUCUGAAAAACCACUACCCUGUUUGGAAUUAUGCUUACCUAUCACAAGGAAUAGGACUAGAUAGAAAGUUUGGCUGGGGCGGCACACCUUCGAAAGAGCAGCGAAGGUGUCCUAAGUUGAGCUCAGUGAGGACAGAAAUCUCACGUUGAGGAUAAGGCCAAAAGCUCAAUUUACUGUGCCUUUUUGUACUAGGAUCAGUUACGAAAGUAAGGCCUAACGAUCCCUAAAUAGCCUCAGGUGCGUGAGGAUUGGGGUGACAGACAAGUUACCUCCGGGACAACUGGCUUGUGGCUGCUAAGAGAUCAAAUCAACGCAGCUUUUUGAUUCUUCGAUGUCGGCUCUUCCUAUCCUAGUGAUGUACAAGUUGCUAAGGGUCGGAUUGUUCACCCGUAUUAGGGAUCGUGAGCUGGGUUUAGACCGUCGUGAGCCAGGUUUGUUUUAUCCUACUGGAUAUAGCAUCAUGAUAGUAGAUUGAUUUAGUACGAGAGGAACUGUUGAUUAUGGCCUCUGGUUAGCGAUUAUCGGAAACGGUAUGUCGCGCAGCUACGCCGUCUGGGAUAAUGGCUGAAAGCCUCUUAAGCCAGAAGCCCAUCUAGAAAGUGAUGCACGUGAUGUUGGACCGAUACGAAUAAUCAUACUCAAAAGGUCCGCUUCAUAGGUAACCCAAUGUAGAAGACAUUGUGUGAACGAAGGUACUGUAAGCAGUGGAGUGGCAUUACGUCCACGACCUGUUGAGGUUCAGCUUCGCUUCUAGGUUUCC
rfam:Trichomonas vaginalis G3, whole genome shotgun sequence.